UACGAAGGGGGCUAGCGUUGCUCGGAUUUACUGGGCGUAAAGCGCACGUAGGCGGGGCGUUAAGUCGGGGGUGAAAUCCCGGAGCUCAACUCCGGAACUGCCUUCGAUACUGGCGAUCUCGAGUCCGGGAGAGGUGAGUGGAAUUCCGAGUGUAGAGGUGAAAUUCGUAGAUAUUCGGAAGAACACCAGUGGCGAAGGCGGCUCACUGGCCCGGUACUGACGCUGAGGUGCGAAAGCGUGGGGAGCAAACAGG
rnacentral:rRNA from 1 species